GCCACCAUAGCUCAGUCGGUAGAGCGGCUCACUCGUAAUGAGCAGGUCAUCGGUUCGAUUCCGAUUGGUGGCU
rnacentral:tRNA from 1 species